UACGUAGGGUGCAGGCGUUAAUCGGAAUUACUGGGCGUAAAGCGUGCGCAGGCGGUUUCUUAAGUCAGAUGUGAAAGCCCCGGGCUUAACCUGGGAACUGCGUUUGAAACUGGGAGACUAGAGUGUGGCAGAGGGGGGUGGAAUUCCACGUGUAGCAGUGAAAUGCGUAGAUAUCUGGAGGAACACCGGUGGCGAAGGCGACAUCCUGGACCGGCAUUGACGCUGAGGCGCGAAGGCCAGGGGAGCAAACGGG
rnacentral:rRNA from 1 species